rnacentral:rRNA from 1 species
UACGUAGGUAGCGAGCGUUAUCCGGAAUUAUUGGGCGUAAAGGGUGCGUAGGCGGCUUCUUAAGUCCAUCUUAAAAGUGCGGGGCUUAACCCCGUGAUGGAAUGGAAACUGGGAGGCUGGAGUAUCGGAGAGGAAAGCGGAAUUCCUGGUGUAGCGGUGAAAUGCGUAGAUAUUACGAAGAACACCGAUGGCGAAGGCGACUCACUGGGGUGUUAUUGAC